GAGUGUUCCAAGACACUGCUACUUACAGUUAGUUUUGCAGGUUUGCAUUUCAGCAUACACAUAAUACGGCUGUGCAAAUCCAUGCAAAACUGAUUGUGAUAGUGUAUGCUGUCUACAGCGUUA
rnacentral:pre_miRNA from 15 species